rnacentral:rRNA from 1 species
GGCGGCUGCUUAACACAUGCAAGUCGAACGAGACCUUCGGGUCUAGUGGCGCACGGGUGCGUAACGCGUGGGAAUCUGCCCUUAGGUACGGAAUAACUCAGAGAAAUUUGUGCUAAUACCGUAUGAUGUCGAAAGACCAAAGAUUUAUCGCCUAAGGAUGAGCCCGCGUAAGAUUAGCUAGUUGGUAAGGUAAAAGCUUACCAAGGCGACGAUCUUUAGCUGGUCUGAGAGGAUGAUCAGCCACACUGGGACUGAGACACGGCCCAGACUCCUACGGGAGGCAGCAGUGGGGAAUAUUGGACAAUGGGCGAAAGCCUGAUCCAGCAAUGCCGCGUGAGUGAUGAAGGCCUUAGGGUUGUAAAGCUCUUUUACCAGGGAUGAUAAUGACAGUACCUGGAGAAUAAGCUCCGGCUAACUCCGUGCCAGCAGCCGCGGUAAUACGGAGGGAGCUAGCGUUGUUCGGAAUUACUGGGCGUAAAGAGUACGUAGGCGGUGAUACAAGUCAGAGGUGAAAGCCUGGAGCUCAACUCCAGAACUGCCUUUGAAACUAGAUCGCUAGAAUCAUGGAGA